CUCUGAAGAAUUGCUAUACUGUGGUUAUCUGUAUCAAGAACUGUGAAGUAUCUGAAAUGCUGUCCUAAUUGCAAGAAACAGCAGCAGCCAGAAGAUCAGCAUUUUGCCCUAAAUCCCUCAGGGUGACACAAAGUCCAGAUGACACAUGCACACUGUGAGCUGCUUCAUAGACUGGGAAUGCUGGGCUUAGAGACUAUGAAUCUUUUACAGGGAACAGUGAACACUAUAUCUUCUAAGACUGCUUGCUUUACAAACAUCCUUGAAAAAA